rnacentral:rRNA from 1 species
UACGUAGGGCGCAAGCGUUGUCCGGAAUUACUGGGCGUAAAGAGCUCGUAGGCGGUUUGUCGCGUCUGCCGUGAAAGUCCGGGGCUCAACUCCGGAUCUGCGGUGGGUACGGGCAGACUAGAGUGAUGUAGGGGAGACUGGAAUUCCUGGUGUAGCGGUGAAAUGCGCAGAUAUCAGGAGGAACACCGAUGGCGAAGGCAGGUCUCUGGGCAUUAACUGACGCUGAGGAGCGAAAGCAUGGGGAGCGAACAGG